UACAGAGGGGGCAAGCGUUAUUCGGAAUUAUUGGGCGUAAGGAGCUCGUAGGCGGUUCGUCGCGUCGGCUGUGAAAACCCGAGGCUCAACCUCGGGCCUGCAGUCGAUACGGGCGGACUGGAGUUCGGCAGGGGAGACUGGAAUUCCUGGUGUAGCGGUGAAAUGCGCAGAUAUCAUCUGGAACACCGGUGGCGAAAGCGGCUCACUGGGGCUUUUCUGACGCUGAGGGACGAAAGCUAGGGGAGCGAACGGG
rnacentral:rRNA from 1 species